CUCCUCUAGUUCACCUCGGAUAAUGGCGACAGCCGUAGUAGUGAACGUCGGGAAGAAGCUCUACGAGGGUAAAACAAAAGAAGUCUAUGAAUUGUUAGACACCCCAGGCAGAGUCCUCCUGCAGUCCAAGGACCAGAUCACAGCAGGGAAUGCAGCUAGGAAGAACCGCCUGGAAGGCAAAGCUGCCAUCUCCAACAAGAUCACCAGCUGCAUAUUUCAGUUGUUACAGGAAGCUGGUAUAAAAACUGCUUUCACCAAGAAAUGUGGGGAGACUGCCUUCAUUGCACCCCAGUGUGAAAUGAUCCCCAUUGAGUGGGUGUGCCGAAGAAUAGCAACUGGAUCUUUCCUCAAAAGGAACCCUGGUGUACAGGAGGGGUACAAGUUCUAUCCACCCAAAGUGGAGAUGUUCUUCAAGGAUGAUGCCAAUAAUGAUCCGCAGUGGUCGGAGGAGCAACUCAUUGCUGCAAAAUUUUGUUUUGCUGGCCUUGUUAUAGGGCAGACUGAAGUGGACAUCAUGAGUCAUGCCACACAAGCUAUUUUUGAAAUUCUGGAGAAAUCCUGGCUGCCCCAUCAUUGUACGCUGGUUGAUAUGAAGAUUGAAUUUGGCGUUGAUGUAACCACCAAAGAGAUCGUUCUUGCUGAUGUCAUUGAUAAUGAUUCCUGGAGACUAUGGCUAUCGGGCGAUCAGAGCCAGCAGAAGGACAAACAGUCUUACCGUGAUCUCAAAGAAGUAACUCCGGAAGGACUCCAGAUGGUAAAGAAAAACUUUGAGUGGGUUGCAGACCGAGUGGAGUUGCUUCUCAAGUCAGACAGUCAGUGCAGGGUGGUAGUGCUGAUGGACUCCACCUCUGACCUUGGUCACUGUGAGAAAAUUAAGAAGGCUUGUGGAAAUUUUGGGAUUCCGUGUGAACUUAGAGUAACAUCUGUGCAUAAAGGACCAGAUGAGACUUUGAGGAUUAAAGCAGAAUAUGAAGGGGAUGGCGUACCUACUGUAUUUGUCUCUGUGGCGGGCAGAAGCAACGGUCUAGGCCCAGUGCUGUCUGGCAAUACUGCAUAUCCGGUUAUCAGCUGUCCCCCAUCACACCAGACUGGGGUGCUCAGGAUGUGUGGUCAUCUCUUCGACUGCCCAGUGGUAUUGGCUGUUCAACUAUACUUUCUCCAGAAGGAUCUGCUCAGUUUGCUGCUCAGAUAUUUGGGUUAAACAAUCAUUUGGUGUGGGCCAAACUUCGAACGAGCAUAUUAAACACGUGGAUAUCCUUAAAGCAGGCUGAUAAGAAGGUCAGACAAUGCAAUUUGUAAAGAAGCAAUUUAAUUUUUAGGAGAAAAGUUACGUAGUCCUAGUUUGGAUUUAAAGAAAAAAGUCAAGCAAAAUGAUUUCACAUAAGAGAAAACAAUUCAGUUACUAAUAAACAAAUAUUACUCAGUGUUUAUGAGUUGGCACAUUGUCAGUGGAUAUUACUAAUAUUUUCUAGCUCUACAAAGUGAUAUGUCCCUGUAACCUUAGCACUCCAGAGGCUGAGGCAGCAGGAUCUCUUAAGUUCAGGGCCAACUGAGCUGUGUAUUGAGACUCAACUUGCCGUGGAGGGAAUCUUUAUAGUUAGUAAAAUUGGCAUGACACUACUAAAUUUAUUCUCACCCUCUGUAUAGUCACUGUUGGGUAAAUAUGUAAUUAUGAAACUGGAACAAUGUGUCUGCUGUAUGAACCACUAUGAAGAACCAGUGUGGCUCUUUUGCCGAUGACCUGAGUUUGGCUCCCAGCAUCUGUGUAGACUGCCUCACAAUAAAUACCCUUUAAAUCCGGGGA